rnacentral:rRNA from 1 species
AGCGAACGCUGGCGGCAGGCCUAACACAUGCAAGUCGAACGAACCUUUCGGGGUUAGUGGCGGACGGGUAAGUAACACGUGGGAACGUGCCUUUAGGUUCGGAAUAACUCAGGGAAACUUGUGCUAAUACCGAAUGUGCCCUUCGGGGGAAAGAUUAAUCGCCUUUAGAGCGGCCCGCGUCUGAUUAGCUAGUUGGUUGAGGUAAUGGCUCACCAAGGCGACGAUCAGUAGCUGGUCUGAGAGGAUGAUCAGCCACAUUGGGACUGGGACACGGCCCAAACUCCUACGGGAGGCAGCAGUGGGGAAUCUUGCGCAAUGGGCGAAAGCCUGACGCAGCCAUGCCGCGUGAAUGAUGAAGGUCUUAGGAUUGUAAAAUUCUUUCACCGGGGACGAUAAUGACGGUACCCGGAGAAGAAGCCCCGGCUAACUUCGUG